rnacentral:rRNA from 1 species
GACGAAUGCUGGCGGCGUGCUUAACACAUGCAAGUCGAACGGAAAGGCCCUGCUUUUGUGGGGUGCUCGAGUGGCGAACGGGUGAGUAACACGUGAGUAACCUGCCCUUGACUUUGGGAUAACUUCAGGAAACUGGGGCUAAUACCGGAUAGGAGCUCCUGCUGCAUGGUGGGGGUUGGAAAGUUUCGGCGGUUGGGGAUGGACUCGCGGCUUAUCAGCUUGUUGGUGGGGUAGUGGCUUACCAAGGCUUUGACGGGUAGCCGGCCUGAGAGGGUGACCGGCCACAUUGGGACUGAGAUACGGCCCAGACUCCUACGGGAGGCAGCAGUGGGGAAUAUUGCACAAUGGGCGGAAGCCUGAUGCAGCAACGCCGCGUGCGGGAUGACGGCCUUCGGGUUGUAAACCGCUUUCGCCUGUGACGAAGCGUGAGUGAUGGUAAUGGGUAAAGAAGCACCGGCUAACUACGUG